GAUCAUGGCUCAGGAUGAACGCUAGCGACAGGCCUAACACAUGCAAGUCGAGGGGCAGCGAAGAGGUAGCAAUACCUCUGUCGGCGACCGGCGCACGGGUGAGUAACACGUAUGCAAUCCACCUGUAACAGGGGGAUAACCCGGAGAAAUCCGGACUAAUACCCCCAUAAUAUGGGCGCUCCGCAUGGAGAGUCCAUUAAAGAGAGCAAUUUUGGUUACAGACGAGCAUGCG
rnacentral:rRNA from 1 species